UGUGGAUUAUCUACAGGGUUGCUUUACUCACAUCAUUUCUCAACUACAUUAUCAAAAAUAAAAGAGAGGUGGUAGCAUGUAGCAGAGACAAGGUUUCUCCAUGUUGCUCAGGCUGGUCUCAAACUCCUGAUCUCAGGUGAUCUUCUCGCCUUGGCUUCCCAAAGUGCUGGGAUUACAGGUGUGAACCACAGUACCUGGCCAGCAUUUGGAGUAUUUAAGAAUACAACAUAUUUGGGCCAUUAGACAAAGUGAGUAUUGAAGGCAAAAAUCUGCUACAACAUUUGGUAACUUACUGCUACCGUUGUUUCUGAAAAGUAGAUUAUGCUAAAAAU